UGAGGAAUUUUGCGCAAUGGGGGAAACCCUGACGCAGCAACGCCGCGUGAGUGAAGAAGGCUUUCGGGUCGUAAAGCUCUGUCAAGAGGGAAGAAAGUGGAAGGUGGUAAUACUGUUUUCUAUUGACGGUACCUCUGAAGGAAGCACCGGCUAACUCCGUGCCAGCAGCCGCGGUAAUACGGGGGGUGCAAGCGUUAUUCGGAUUUAUUGGGCGUAAAGAGCGCGUAGGCGGUUUAGCAAGUCAGAUGUGAAAGCCCUUGGCUCAACCUGGGAAGUGCAUUUGAAACUAGUAGACUUGAGUAUGGGAGAGGGGAGUGGAAUUCCUGGUGUAGAGGUGAAAUUCGUAGAUAUCAGGAGGAACACCGGUGGCGAAGGCGACUUCCUGGACCAAUACUGACGCUGAGGCGCGAAGGCGUGGGGAGCAAACA
rnacentral:rRNA from 1 species